UCGAAAGCCUGUCCCAGUUCGGACUGGAGUCUGCAACCCGACUCCACGAAGUUGGAUUCGCUAGUAAUCGCGCAUCAGCCAUGGCGCGGUGAAUACGUUCCCGGGUCUUGUACACACCGCCCGUCAAGCCAUGGGAGCCGGGGGCGCCUGAAGUCCGGGACCGCAAGGACCGGCCUAGGGCGAAACUGGUAACUGGGGCUAAGUCGUAACAAGGUAGC
rnacentral:rRNA from 1 species